rnacentral:rRNA from 1 species
AUUGAACGCUGGCGGAAUGCUUUACACAUGCAAGUCGAGCGGCAGCGCGGGGCAACCUGGCGGCGAGCGGCGAACGGGUGAGUAAUGCAUCGGAACGUACCCAGUCGUGGGGGAUAACUGUCCGAAAGGACAGCUAAUACCGCAUACGUCCUGAGGGAGAAAGCGGGGGAGUCGCAAGACCUCGCGCGAUUGGAGCGGCCGAUGCCGGAUUAGCUAGUUGGUAGGGUAAAGGCCUACCAAGGCGACGAUCCGCAGCUGGUCUGAGAGGACGACCAGCCACACUGGAACUGAGACACGGUCCAGACUCCUACGGGAGGCAGCAGUGGGGAAUUUUUGGACAAUGGGGGCGAACCCUGAUCCAGCCAUUCCGCGUGAGUGAAGAAGGCCUC